UACGUAGGAGGCGAGCGUUGUCCGGAGUUACUGGGCGUAAAGGGUGCGCAGGCGGCGGUUCGCGUGGCGAGAUGAAAUCUCCUGGCUUACCUGGGAGGGUGGUCGCCAGACGGGAUCGCUUGAGUGCGGCAGAGGAGACUGGAAUUCCCGGUGUAGCAGUGAAAUGCGUAGAUAUCGGGAGGAAUACCGAUGGCGAAGGCAGGUCUCUGGGCUGACACUGACGCUCAUGCACGAAAGCGUGGGGAGCAAACAGG
rnacentral:rRNA from 1 species